GGGUCCAUAGCUCAGCUGGGAGAGCGCCUGCCUUGCACGCAGGAGGUCAGCGGUUCGAUCCCGCUUGGCUCCACCA
rnacentral:tRNA from 1 species